rnacentral:lncRNA from 1 species
CACACACACACACACACACACACACACACACACACACACACACACACACACACACACACACACACACACACACACACACACACACACACACACACACACACACACACACACACACACACACACUUGAGCUUAUUUCCUUGCAAUAAACAUAGCUUGAGCUUAGUCUUAACGAACACAUAUAAAUAAUCCCACAUACAUUAACUCCUAACACCAGAAGGCAAGACUAGAUUCGUCGAGUUGUUUCCGCUGGCUGACUCAAAGUGUAUCUGUGGGUGGGUGGUAAGCUUAACCCUGAUCCAGAGACCACCCAAUAACAUCGCUGACCUUCCUUGCUGCAUACCUGAGCCACAACAUCCAAGCCUCAACCCCAGUCACAGUACACUUGGGUCAGGGGUCCCGGGCCUGCUCAUAGAUGGAUAGGCAUCUCGGGUGAUUUCUUUGCCUGGCUUCUAACAUGGAAAAUAGAAAGCGUGAAACUUCCAAGAGCAUGCAAGACGCGACGGGCAGGGACAGUGUCUUCGGUAUUGGGCGACUCAGCUGAUCUACACUCAAGUUUGUCGCCGAGGUUUCCAUCGGUCGCUGCUGACUCUGCCAGUGCCCAAGAUGCCCCCGCGUUCUACAUGAUAUAUUUCAACCUAACAAGGAAGUUCCCAGACUCCUCUGCCGCUCUACUGACUUCCCCUACCACAAGCAGAUAUCUUGCAUCUGGCUGGUUGUGGUUCUGACCUUAACACGACCUACUGGAGGGUUGUGGUCCAUACAACAGCCCGACCUCAUGGAAGCUUGUGGCCCAUACCACAGUCUGACCUCAUGGCGGGCUACGCUUCCGUCCACAUUCAUCAGUCAUCUAAUACGAAGACAGGAAUUUGCAUAUUUUGCCACCAUUCCUGGUGGAACCUUGCACUGUGAAAGAUAUGUAAAGUAGUUAACUGUUACGUCACAUAAUGUAACUAACAGCUAAAUGUGAGCUGAAAAGAUGGUAGUAGAGUGUUUCGUGGGUGAUCCCAGUGAACGGUGAAGUUUAUCCAGUGUUUAGCACAUUUGUCUGCUUCGUAUGGUUGUGGACGCCGCAGAGGUAUCGUGUCUGUCUUGGUGAGAGUGUCAGUGACAUUAUAAAAAAAACGCGUAUGUUGUGUAAUUUGCUCCAGUGCACAUAGUGGAAUACAACCAGCCUUUUCAAAAUUAAUAUGACAUAAAUAGCUAAUUUAUUUAUUUAAAUCACAUUAUUACCAUUCAUCUAGAUUCAUCUGUGUUAUCAGCCACAGAUACUGUUAAGCUCUCAUCAUAAACACCUGUGGCCGCCUCCAGCCAGAACUGUGAAGGGAGAGAGGAGCAGCGGCUUAUCUGGCGACAAUUUGGAAUGUUUAUUAUCAAUAUUAAAUAUAAAGUCGUGUGUGUGUAUAGGAGAUAAAAUAAGCAAUCUCUCUGAGUCCUGUCCACGAACGAUAAAUAGUUGGAGCCAGAGAGAACUGCCCAAAAAUAAUUGCACUGUUCUUCCAGUAUCGCAAUCAUGGAGUGUUAGGGUUUGUGUGUCUGCUUCAGUAACCCCAUUCAUGGGGACCGUGGUCGAGGCCGCUGUAAGUCUCUUCGUCCACGGCGCUCAUCACCAUCCCCCGAACCAACUGUGGUGUGCAAUACUGCAACUCUAGUACACACAGGGGAUACCAAGACUUACACCUUAGGAGGGUCCUGCGUAGCUGAGGACUCAGUCCGCUGAUGUUCUAGUACUUACAAUAUCGAACACCGCCAUCGCCACCCAGUCCUCUGGAAGUUUAGAUUCUUGACUCUGCUGCCAUCUAAUCGAUCAGAGAACUCUUUGGCAUCCUGGAGCAAAUGUGCCCCGCUAUUGGCUUCUACAGUGCCACCUGAGCCAAUAGGCGGCUCACUUGCUCCUGACGGGGAUGUAUUUAUGCCCUUGUGUCCCGGAAUGUUACCCUACAGUUUGUGUGUUCAUAAAAUACAAAACCAU